CUACGAAACAUGCCAGAAUCAUGUUGCUCCACCAGCGGGAUGCCAAACAUGAUUAGAGGUUUGAGGCGCCUUGCAGCGCAUCCUUGGCUGUACCGAAGCCCAGCUCUCUGCACACCACGCUGGCCGCGGUCCUCUCCCACAUGUGGUCCACGAUCGUCCCCCAUUUUCCGUCUCGGAGUACCUCCACGCGACCCUCGCCAAGCCUGGGCCCGGCCUUCAGACGCACCGGCUACAAAGAGGAACGGAAAGGAAAGUCAAAGUCAACACCACAUAAAUACACUUGUGUGUUUUUUUCAUAUAUAGCGCUGUCUUACCACGACUGGGUACGGGGCUUGAGGUCUUCCCGAGGAAAUCCUGGAAAACUGAGGGCCUGGAACACAUUUGACCACAGCGUGCCGCCCGUUCUUACAGGGGGCGGGGCUACGGGGGAUUGACAGCUGACCGUGGCACUCGGACAAUGUGUUCUCAGUGCCCAGACAGUUGACCUUCUCGACCCAGAAGCCCUUCUUCUUGGCCAUGAGGCUCAGCCUGAAAGGGACAAGGAAUUUUGUGGUGUGCACAAAAAUGGCAAAGGCAAAAUGGACUACUUGCUUCAACCAGCAGAGGCGCUGUUGAUGCAGUCUCAACUUCUUUGCUGUAUGAAGAAAGGGAAACUG